rnacentral:rRNA from 1 species
UUUAAGUGAAGAGUUUGAUCCUGGCUCAGAGUGAACGCUGGCGGUAGGCCUAACACAUGCAAGUCGAACGGCAGCACAGGAGAGCUUGCUCUCUGGGUGGCGAGUGGCGGACGGGUGAGGAAUACAUCGG